GACGUACUGCGCGACCGUUAUUCGGAAUUAUUGGGCGUAAAGAGCUCGUAGGCGGUCUGUCGCGUCGGUCGUGAAAACUUGGGGCUUAACCCUGAGCUUGCGGUCGAUACGGGCAUGACUGGAGUUCGGCAGGGGAGACUGGAAUUCCUGGUGUAGCGGUGAAAUGCGCAGAUAUCAGGAGGAACACCGGUGGCGAAGGCGGGUCUCUGGGCCGAUACUGACGCUGAGGAGCGAAAGCGUGGGGAGCGAACGGG
rnacentral:rRNA from 1 species